rnacentral:rRNA from 1 species
GACGAACGCUGGCGGCGUGCCUAAUACAUGCAAGUUGAGCGAUGGAGAUUGGUGCUUGCACCAAUUUGAAGAGCAGCGAACGGGUGAGUAACGCGUGGGGAAUCUGCCUUUGAGCGGGGGACAACAUUUGGAAACGAAUGCUAAUACCGCAUAACAACUUUAAACAUAAGUUUUAAGUUUGAAAGAUGCAAUUGCAUCACUCAAAGAUGAUCCCGCGUUGUAUUAGCUAGUUGGUGAGGUAAAGGCUCACCAAGGCGAUGAUACAUAGCCGACCUGAGAGGGUGAUCGGCCACAUUGGGACUGAGACACGGCCCAAACUCCUACGGGAGGCAGCAGUAGGGAAUCUUCGGCAAUGGACGAAAGUCUGACCGAGCAACGCCGCGUGAGUGAAGAAGGUUUUCGGAUCGUAAAACUCUGUUGGUAGAGAAGAGCGUUGGUGAGAGUGGAAAGCUCAUCAAGUGACGGUAACUACCCAGAAAGGGACGGCUAACUACGUG